UACUCCUCCUCUAUAUCGUGGACUCUGCCCUCCUUUACCUCCACGCAUCCUUUCUUCAUGGACUACUCUGCUCUCUUCCGUGCUAGGUUUUCCCUAUGAGUUACAGCCGCCUCUUUUCAUCUUAGCGUCGUGUAGUCAGAUGGCAUAAAUUCAAAGCAGACAAGACGAUGUGCCAUCCCAAUGGAGACGUGAUGGCUUCUCCCAUAUCCUUCUGUACGACCCUGCCGCAGUCUCGCAGAUCUGGUUUUCUUGGCGACUCAGUCGUCGGGUGCGGAAGCGGGACUGCAGACACCGGCGCCACGGCCACCAUGUCCACGCCGUGUGAGCUGUGGAGGCCACACUCCUGGUACCCGUGGCGUAUCUUGGCACGCCCGCGAGAACUGAGACUCAAUUUGAAGCCUUGCUUUGGCCGACGCAGAGGGCAAACGCCAUGGAUGCCUGGCACUCUACUACAUCUAAUUAUAAUCGUAAGGUGGAGGUGGAGGACAUGGAUUUGCACUGACAUUAAUCUCCUGAUGAAAUUGCGAGAGAGAGAGAGAGA